GUCUGAUUGAACACAACAACCAGUCUGGCCUGCCCACUGAUAAUUUUAAAGGCCGCGGUAUCAUGACCGUGCAAAGGUAGCAUAAUAAUUAGUUUUUUAAUUGAAAACUGGAAUGAAAGGUUUGACAAAAAGUGAACUGUCCCAAAAUUUACAAUUGAAAUUAACAUUUAAGUGAAAAGGCUUAAAUAAUCUUAAAAGACGACAAGACCCUAUAAAACUUUAUAUAAAGAUUAAAUCCCUUAACUUAUAAGUUUAACAAGAUUAUUUAUCCCUUGUGUAUUUCGUUGGGGCAACGGAAGCAUAAUAAAGACCUGCUUUUUUUUUCUAUACAAUUAUCUUUGUAUAUUUUAUGACCCUUCUUGAGAAGAUCAAAAGAAAAAGUUACUUUAGGGAUAACAGCGUUAUUUUUUUUGAAAGUCCCUAUUGACAAAAAAGUUUGCGACCUCGAUGUUGAAUUAAAGUACCUCCAUAAUGCAGCAGUUAUGGAAGUAGGUCUGUUCGACCUUUAAAACUUUACAUGAUUUGAGUUCAAACCGGCGUGAG
rnacentral:rRNA from 1 species